AAAUCUUUAUUGGUUACUGGUAGAGCAGGAGCAGCUGUCUGGAUGGAUACUGGCUUGUGUGUUAUCCUGCGUGCCGCUGAUCUCUUCCAUUGUGAAUGUUUUCCUCUGAGAAUAGGCCAAACGCAGAGAAAAGUCAGAAAGCGAAGUGGGGAUGAAAGUCGGAGCAGGAAAGAGAAAAAAUCAACUCCUUGACUAGCGCUAUCCAAAGCUCAAAGCACAGGAGUUUGAAAGCCCACAGGAAACCUUCAGAGAUAAAGGUCACCCAGACCUCCCAUGAAGGGAAUCAAGUUUCAAUGAUUACUCCAGGAAUUACAAUCCUGGUUUUGUGAUGUUGUCAUGGACUCC
ensembl:lncRNA